UACGUAGGGGGCAAGCGUUGUCCGGAUUUAUUGGGCGUAAAGCGCGUGUAGGCGGCCAGGUAGGUCCGCUGUGAAAACCCGAGGCUCAACCUCGGGACGUCGGCGGAAACCAUCUGGCUAGAGUCCGGAAGAGGAGAGUGGAAUUCCCGGUGUAGCGGUGAAAUGCGCAGAUAUCGGGAAGAACACCCGUGGCGAAGGCGGCUCUCUGGACAGUUCCUGACACUGAGGCACGAAGGCCAGGGGAGCAAACGGG
rnacentral:rRNA from 1 species